UGCACUGUGUUCCCUAUUCACAAAGACUAUGC
rnacentral:piRNA from 1 species